AGUUUGAUCAUGGCUCAGGACGAACGCUGGCGGCGUGCUUAACACAUGCAAGUCGAACGAUGAACCACUUCGGUGGGGAUUAGUGGCGAACGGGUGAGUAACACGUGGGCAAUCUGCCCUUCACUCUGGGACAAGCCCUGGAAACGGGGUCUAAUACCGGAUACUGACCCUCGCAGGCAUCUGCGAGGUUCGAAAGCUCCGGCGGUGAAGGAUGAGCCCGCGGCCUAUCAGCUUGUUGGUGAGGUAAUGGCUCACCAAGGCGACGACGGGUAGCCGGCCUGAGAGGGCGACCGGCCACACUGGGACUGAGACACGGCCCAGACUCCUACGGGAGGCAGCAGUGGGGAAUAUUGCACAAUGGGCGAAAGCCUGAUGCAGCGACGCCGCGUGAGGGAUGACGGCCUUCGGGUUGUAAACCUCUUUCAGCAG
rnacentral:rRNA from 2 species